rnacentral:rRNA from 1 species
CCACUGAUUUUUCAACCAAACUCGAUCUCUUCUGUUCUUCUCUGCGCCUCUCUCUCCGCUCUCUCCACCAUGGCCAUGGACACGCUCUAAGGGCCGCUGCCCUGCUGCCUCAUCAGCUCUAAGUGAUGCUGCUUCACAAGCUCCACGCGACCAAGCUCCACAUGCGUUACAGCACUCGUCGGUGACACCGGCGCUACGAUGCGGUGGCCGUCGAUGGCUGCGGCGCGGCAACAUGAUGUCUCCCAAGCUCCAACAUGGCGCUGCCCAAGCUCCAUGCGAACGGUGCUGCAUCGCAGCGUUCAUCGAUGAAGCUGGCUCUGUGACGUGGUGGUCCUCGGUGGCCGCCAGCGCUGCGACGCGGUGGUCCGCGGUGGCCGCCGGCGACGCAUACCUCAUCGGUGCUUCCAGCGGCGUGAUGCAGCACUCGCGCCGCUGCAAGGGGCACCGGGUGUUGUGAUGGAGCGCUCGUUGAUGAUGUCGGUGCUGCUAUGCAGUGGUGCUGGAGCUGCGACGGGACGCCGGUGCUGCGAUGGAGCACCACCGCGUCGGUGUCAUGGCUGUAAUGAAGCAUCGCCGGAGCUUAGACGGGCUACCCACGCUGCGUUGGAGCACCGCCACGCCGGUCUCGCGGCUGCAAUGAAGCAUGGCCGGAGCUGCAAUGGGCCGUCGGGUUCUGCGAUGGAGGUGUCGUGGAUGUAAUGAAGCAUCGCCGGAGCUUCAACGGGCUACCCGCGCUGCGUUGGAGCACUGCCACGCCGUUGUCGCGGCUACAAUGGAGCAUGGCAGGAGCUGCAACAGGCCGUCGGUGCUGCGUUGGAGCACAACAUGUCGGUGUCGCAGCUGCAAUGAAGUAUGGCCGGAGCUGCAAUUGGCCUCCGGUUCUGCGAUGGAGCACCGACGGCCUCGCAGGUGUUGGCGCUGCAGAGCAUGGCAGCGGUGCUAUGAUGAAGCUCGAUGGUGGCAGCAAAAAGUGUUGCGGGGAGCUACAUCUUUUUCGUUCCUCUACGUGGUGUUCUUUUUCUUCCUUUUGCUAAUGUGCAUGCGGGGAUAGUUGCUUGAGACCAAGAUGACUGGCGUGACACAACGCCUGAUCCAACGCCCCACGAGGCGGUUAUUUUUUGCCCCGCGUCAGUCGGAUGACGCCUAGCAGUGGCCUCGAGCUCACUGGUUGCUCCGAAGGUUUAAACUUUAGUGACGAAAAAAAAUAGACCUUACCAAAAUAUCCGAAUUCCGAAAGUUUGAAAAAAAUCUUUUGAAAUUCGAUCUAUUAAAUUCACUUAGUUUUAAUGGAUCUUCGCUGAAUUUGAAUUUGAUUUGAUUCUGUCCCAAAAUUUCGAGUUUACAAACAUUUUGGUGCCCACCAAACUUUCAGAAACUUGGUCAAAUUUUCGUUUUAACCUUGGUCCCUUCGUGCCAAAGACCAACCCCACACCGGCGCACCGCCUCGGUAUUCGAGUCGCCUGUCCCUUCUUCCUCCGCCGCCGUGCCAGCUAGCUAGGGUUACGGCCACCGGCGCUCCCAGAGGGCAGGGGUGGCGGAGGCGGCGACGCACGCGCAUGGCCGCAGGCGACGCGUCAUCGGGGUCGGCGCCGGGGCCGGAGACGGCGGGGGAGGCGGAGGUGGACGCGGGCUUCGAGUUCGCCUUCGACAACGAGGCCUUCUCCGACAGGGUCCUGCGGAUAGAGGUCGUCGGCGCUGGCCGGAAGCGCCGGCGUGAAGGUGAUGAUGGAGAAGGUAGUACACCAGUUUUACGAGUCAAGACCAUACAUAUCAGUUCAGUGAUUCUCGCUGCAAAAAGUUCUUUCUUUUUCAAGAAUCUGGUCAGAGACAGUCAACAGUUAGAAUUGCUGAUUCAGAGGAGAACGCCCUUAUGGAGCUUUUGCGCUUUAUGUACAAUGGAAGGUUGGCACCAAUAACUGAGUCCACUUUUCUGGUCGAUGAUGGCUGCUGACAAAUUUGAUGUCGUUUCGUGCAUCAAGCUUUGCGGUCAGCGGCUCAUAGGUCUGCCUAUGACCCUAGAAUCUGCAGUGAGGUGCCUAGAUCUCCCAUGUUCCAUUUCAAUGGCAGCUGACCUGUCAGAGGCAGCCAAGAAAUUCCUUGCUAAAAGAUACGAGAAAUUCCUGUCAACAAAGUUCCAAGAUGAACUGAUGAGGAUUCCCCUCGCUGGGAUUGUGGCCAUCUUAUCACGAAAUUUCCCUGGGGUUGCAUCUGAAAAAUCCGUCUAUGACUUUGUGCUCAGGUGGGCCGACUUGCAGUACCCAAAUUCAGAACAAAGACGCGAGAUUUUAAGUUCAAGUUUACUUCCAAUGGUGCCACUAGCGCGUAGCAUGACCAAUGUGAUCCUAAUUGAUCAGCCGUCUUGUAUAAUUAACUUUAGUCUAAAGCGUGAGCACUGCUCUGGGAGCUUCCCAUCAGGAUCGAUGCGCUCGCCACCAUUCUAUUGUGCGGGGCAUGGUUUCUUUCUCUCAGCACAUCGAAGAAUGGGGCCGUCCAACUUUUUUUUCCUCAUAAUACAGAAGCUAGAAGACAAGGGCCUAGUAGAGGGGACAUUAGAUUAUGAGAUUGAGGUAAAAAGAAACACCGUCGCUGGAGUUUACCACCUUGUGGAGGCGCACCACCACCACCGGUUGUAGACAAGGUUUUGGAUGCAGGGUUCCUUGGCCGGAGGUCAUUCCUGAUGAUAGCCCCUUCUUCAUCGACGACAAACUCCAUAUUCGAGUUCAUGUGAAGAUAACGCCGCAGCCUUAGUGAUGCAUGCAUUAGCCACUAGCGUCAUGUGCUUCAUUCAUGUCCAUUUUUGUUUAUGUGAGCGAGGAGAAGCCCCUGUUCUUUUAACAUAUGAACUCGGUGAACAAUGCUCUGCUCUCUUUUGGUGACUGGUAAUGUUGCAAUGUAGCUUCUGAACAUCUAGAGUUUGAUGCUGGAGGUUUCACUGUGUCACGGACUCUUACCAGACGCAAACUGUCAAGUUUGUGUGUGAGUUCUGAUAUCCAGCGAAGUCACUGAACAGUUAAUGUGCACUUUGUCGUAAGUUGGCUGGUAUACAUUGCUGAAUGCUGAUGACCUCUUUGACUCGAUGGACUUGUGACCCUUAGAAUGCAUAUUAUGUGAUCAUCUGUUCAUGGCUAUCUUUCGUUAUUUUUUGGUUCAUACUCUAUGGCAGUUGAUAUGUUGUGCCUCAAGGGCAGAAUGCUGCUGCAAAUUGCCUAGAAAAAUGCUGAUGUAAAGUUCAAUGUUGUCAGGUCUGUUGCUUGCAAUGUGUGCUCCCUGG